AACAGAUGGUCCGUGUGUGAAGGCAGACUGCCCCAGGCUCCGGGGCAGACAGACUGAAACACCCCCAGGCACAAGGCCACCUCCUUCUGGAGGAGAUCCUAAUCAGACCCCCAGUAGAGUAGGAGGGAAGGUUCUGGCAGAGAUGGGUCAUUCCCUAGCCAGGGAACACCAUUUCAAACCCCAGGACCUGCCAGAGAAACCGGCUCUGCUGGUGGUGAAGUGAUGCUUGUCAACUCAACGUCUGGGUGGCCUUUUCACGGCAGCGUUAACGUGGCCAGCAGUCCAGGAAAAUGCGACGGAGUUACUCACGACCACCCAGAGAGCCUUCAGGCUUGGUUCCACCGUGAUGUCAGGAAGCUGAUGGACAUCUACAGCUAGUAUGUGCUGUUCUGUCACUGCCGCGGACAGGCAAGGGCAGCCCUCCUAUGAACGUGGAAGUUUGUGCCCAAGAGAGGAGCCCCAUGAGCCCCCAAAUGGAUAGAUGGCAGUGGUGGACCUCCAGAGUCAGGAGGGACCGCGGGAGUCUGUCCUGUCUCAUUUGCUUCUUUCACAGUGGCAUUUUAACCCCACAUUAGGCUGUCAGCCUGGGGUAAAGAAGAGUCUCCAGAUUGACCUUUCUUAGGGUCCUGUCUUGGAUCCCUUCAAGGUCUACAUUUUCUGUCUAGCCAUGCUCCCUCCUGCUGCUACACGUUGUGCCCUUUGCUUAGCCAUCUCACCCAUUUGGAGGCAAAGGAGAGAAAGAACAUAGUGAUGGAGAGUCGGUCCUGGCCAACACGAGGAUGGACUGUGGCCCCAUUUGGUUGCCAGGCGUUUGUAUGAAAUCUUCUUGUUGCUGUUUGUUUCCUGGGGCCAUAUUUAUGACAGGAAUGGCACAGCGAUACGCAACAGUUCAUUUCAAAGUGUUUAGCUUUUCUCUCUCUCUCUUUCUGGUGCUGGGGUCCAGAGGGAAGCAGCAGAGAGGGGCAGGGCACCCCCAACUCUGGCGCAAGCGCUCUUCCUCUGCAGAGGGACACUUGCCUCCAGAAUAGAGCCGUUCCUCGGCACCCCGGUCUAUUUUUGCCAUGGAGCCGGCUGCCCCAUGCCAAGGUUUCUUACCACAAAUAGAACUUCUGGAAAGGCCUCCUGGUUUCCUCUGGGCUUUCAGACACCUCUUCGCAUUUCGUUUGGCUUCCCUUUCCGCAGCCCCAAAAGGGAAUAUUUGGAGGCUCUCCUGUUCCGCUGCAAGCCUCUGCAGGGGAUUCCUUCGGCGAGUGAGGAGCCUGGCCCGCCUCGUCUGCUCUAGCCGCUGGCACACCCGCCUCCUCAGCCCAGAAGCUGAGCCAAGAAGCCUCAGGAGAGCCAGCCAGAGUGCCAGUGUGAACCCCGAAGUGUAGGCUCACCCCUGAGUGAGGCGGUGGAGCAGAGGAAUCCCACAGGGCCACCCUCAGUGUCCAUGUCCCCUCAGAUCCCGGCCCUUCCAAGUCCUUCUGGCCACCACCAGUCCUUUGAGACAGGAUUUGAAUUUUAUUUUUAAUAAAAUAAAUUUAUUUAAAAUAUUAUUAUAAAUAAAUUUUAAAAUUAAAAAAAAUUUAACGGAGGUACUGGGGAUUGAGCCCAGGACCUCGUGCAUGUGCCCUACCACUGAGCUGUACCCACCCAUCUGAGACAGGGUUUGAGAACUCGUUACAGUAAGUGUCACGGACAAGUGACAUGCAACGGAGACACUUACCUUGCAGGGGAUGCCUGGAGUCUGAACACUCCAGAAGCAAUUCCUAUGGGUCAAGUUAAAGCAAGUUAAGGGAGAGGAAGAGUUCACCACACUUGUGUGCUAGGAAAUGGCAACCAGGGAAGGACUACGCACGCCCAAGACCCGCUUUGGUUGGUCGGGGUCAGAGGUGAGAAGGUGCAGGGGAAAGCCACUUUCCAAUCCACUCGAGAUCCAGCUUUGGAAGCUUCCAGAACAGCCACAAACUCCAUCGUUUGAAAACCUCCCACAUUAUGUAAGCAUCCCCACUCCUUCCCUCAGAGUGUGGCUGCUCAGAGCCCAGCCUUUGGCAGACGGAGUGGGUUCCAAUUUCAGUGCUGCCGCUUACUAGCUGUGUGACCUUAGGAUGUUUCUAAACUGCUCUAAGCUUUCCUUUCCCCUCCCGAGGGAACAAAGGGGAUAAUAAUAAUGUGUCUGGCACAUAAUAAACCUCUGAGUCUGAAAUAACAAGUGUCUCCGAGACCCAGACCCUUCACAUGAAAGCAAGAGUGAUAUUUUCCACAUGGUCCCAAUUAUCCAGAGUAAAGAUAUGAAUGAGCUAUGAGGUGCCAACACUUACCAUGAACUAGAGAUGGAAGUGACCUUGCCCUGGGAUCUGCCCUGAGCAGGCACAGGUUUAUUAGCAAGUGUGUGCAUUUCCCUUGCAGCCAAGGCAGCUUCCUCAGGCCCCGUGGCUCCCAGACCUGGGCCAGCACCAGAAGCACCUGGAGGGCUCCUUUCCAGACUGCUGGGCCCCACCCCUGGAGUUUCUGACUCAGUACCACUGGGGCGAGGCCCGGGCGUUUGCAUUUCUAGCAAGUUCUCAGGUGAUGCUGAUGGGAACGUUCCCUGCUAGGAAUGAGGAGCUUCAAAGAGCUGGGCGUGUCUCUCUGAUCCUGGCUCUGGGCCUCGGCGUGGCCUCCUCUGGGAAGGACAUGAUUAGCUGGCUCACGGGUAGGGUGUUCUGGACGCCGCGCCUACUCAGGAUUGGUAGUCCUUUGGCAGGAAGGUAAACUGGAAAGCAAUUUGGCCAUACAGAGCGAGAGCCUUAAGAGGUUUCUGCUCCCUGAUGCUGUCAUCCCCUUUCUGGGAAGCUGUCGCUUAAGAAACAGUUUGCGACGUGGUCAAACCUUUAUGAUUGCCAUGGCCUUGAGAAAGGGGAGGGUGCAGGUGUGUGCAGAACUCCGCUCCUGGCACCCCGGGUGGACGUCCGGAGAGUGCAGAAAGUCCGGCCCCGACCCAGAGCACCGACCCCCCGAUGCAUACAGGACGGGAGAUGAGACUCGCGGAUGCGGAGGGAUUCCGGCCACCCGACUCCCUUGGCACUUCAGCUGUCGUCUCCUCGUCUUCUCUCCAGGCCACGUGCUUCCUGCGGACGUGGCGGCAUCGGGUGGUGGUGAGGCACGUGGGCGUCACAGUCAGACUUCCUGGGGUUUGAAUUCCAGCUCCGCCACUGACCUCAUCUCUAGGUCACCUGAGCCUCAGUUUUAUCUUCAAGUAGGGGUCAGAGCACCUACGCUUCGCAGAGUCGUGAAGUCCACUCCUGUUAUCAAUUACAGAAAAAACACACAGUGCCCUAGAGAAGAAACUACUCUCGAAGAGCAAAAUGGAAUACUGGAGGGGGAGUUCAAAGUGGGGAGUUCUAGAGAGCAGGGGUAUAUGUCUCCAAGAGGAGACUCCUGGGGGUGGAGGGUAGAGCUCAGUGGUAGAGCACGGGAGGAAAAGAAUUAUUAAAAAAAAAAAGAAAUAAAAAGAAAACAAGAUAAAAGCAAGGGGAGGCGGGGAAGAGGCUUGUUUUUCCCUAGUGAAAGCGAACACUGGUAGGGAGCGGGGAGGGCCUUGGUGAGCGCUCACUCCCUGUCUUCGCGCCCAGGGACCCGGGCGCUGGCGGCGAGGGGCGGGGCGGGGGUCCUUCCUGACUCACCGGGAACUCAGCCAGCGUCCUCGGGCUCGCACAGCUGGUGAGCGGCAGCCAGCGGGAUCCCGGAUCCCGGAUCCGGGAGAGCAGCCGCCGUGCACCGGAACACGCUGCCUCAAAUGUGUGGUUUCCUCAACGCCUGUUAUUAAUGGAAACUCUUCAGGAGCCUGCGUGGGGAUGAGAGGAUGGAAAAGGGAGACAAUGAGGGCUCUGUAAGGUGGGGUGCUCCUAUCAGCCCAUCCAUCGGGACGCCAAGUGCCUGGUGAUUCACGCACAGCCGGCGGAAGAUGAAGUCACCUGGACAAUGGAGAAUUCCGGGGCUUUGUAAAAACAACCCAGACACCCGGAGGACACUCCAUUUUUUCCCCGACUUAGACCUAGCCUCCAAAUGUGGGCAGAAGCCCAAGUUUCUGAGUCAUGAUCAUUUGUAAAGGUAACUUGAAGGCACGGCGCUCCGAGAUGCUAUUUAAGUUUUACUCCAUUCAACAAAGGGAGGACAAACUGUCAGUAAAACUACAGGAAAAAAAAAAAGAAACAAGCAGGCCAUAGACUUGGAUUAAACGUCUACAAAACAACCAUCUGACAAAGGACUAAUGUCCAGAAUACACAAGAACAUUUACAAUUUGAUAAUAGACUUACAACUUGACAAAAUAUAGGUAAGAGAACUGAAGAGACACAGAGUAAUAUAUACAAAUGGCCAGUAAGCACCUCAUCAUUAGUCAUCAAGGAAAUGCAAAAGAAAACUGCAAGGAGAUUUACCGUAUGGCUGAAGACCAACCAUGCCAACUAUUGCCAAGGAAGGGAGCUACUGGAACUCCCAUACAUGGUCGGUGAGAGUAUAAAUGAUACGUCCACUCUGGAAAAAGAUCUGGAAGUUUCUUAUAAAACUAAACAUACACCUAUCCUGUCAUCCAGUGAUUCCAUUCCUUGGUAUUUACCUUCCAAAAUGACAGCUUCUGUUCUCAAGAAGACGUGUACUAGAAUGUUCCUAGCAGCUUUAUUCAUCAUAGGGGAACAGCCCAAUUAUCCGUCCAUCAUGAAUGGAUACACAGACUGUGGUUCACGCAUACUUAGCAAUUAAAAGGAAGGAAGUACUGAUACACAUGAUGACGUGGAUGAAUCUCAAAAGCCGAGUGAAAGAGGCCUCACACCAAAGAGCACGUACUUCAUGAUCCUAUUUUCAUGAAGGUCUAGAAGAGGUUAAACUAAUUUGCGAUGAAAAAAUUCAGACCAGUGGUAACCUCUAGAGUGGGGACGGGGCAGGGGUGGACUGGGAAGAGGAAGAGGGAACAUUCUGGGGGUGACGGCGAUGUUCUGUGUGUUGAUCGUUCUUGUUGCAUUUGUCAGAACCUAUCAGACGGUACACUGAAGAGUUCAGCAUUUCACUAUACAUUUUACCCCCACUGACCCUCAGAUAGAAACACAUACUAAACUCUGUGGCUCAUGACAAGCACACAGAAGUAUUCAGGAGGGGGCGUGCACGAAUGUGUGCAACUUACUUAGAAAUGCAUCGCAGACUAAGAUGUACUGAUGGAGGGGUAGAGGGGUGGCUGAAUGGUUAUGUAAUAAAGCAAAUACAGCAAAAUGGUCACUGUACGAUCUAGGUGGUGAGGAAAUGGGCAUUCACUGAACAAUUCUUUCAACUUCUUUGUAUGUCUGAAAAUGUUUAUAAUAAAAUUUUGGGGAGGGAGGGACCUGGACAAAUACAAAGCUAGAAAAAAAGGACAGAGCUGCAGUACUCAAUAUCCUCCCCAGCUCUAAAGUCGAAGAACUACAAAACUGCUUGAAGGGAAACACCAAGGUCCCCACUUCUAUGCUUGCCUCCAGUUUGGCUCCAGUAUGUAAGAAACCCCAGAACUACAGCCCCAUCAUCAUAAUGUGCCCGUGGGCCUCAGGUCCCAAAAGCCAGAGCAGCAUCCAGAGGUUUCGGGCCCAGAAGAGACGUCGAGAAAGCCUGUGUUUGUGUGGGGGACGAGGGCCCCAGUUCGCCUGUUCUAAGUCAUUUGCUACAGUUGGGAAAUUAGGGUUCUGGGCAUAACCCAGGGAUCAGCUGGGCAUUUAAUGCUAAGCCAGACUCCCCGUGACCACAGCUAUGUCAGCUCCAAUUGGAGUUUCAGAUCAAAAGCAUCAUUUUCAAACAUCACUAUGACUUACUGUGCACUAGUGUGUGCUGGGCGUUUUACAUGGCUUCAUUCGAUCCUCACAACCAUCCAGUGAGAGGUUUAUUAUCCCGAUUUUAUGGUUGAGGAAACUGAGGCUCAGAGAGGAUAAACAAUGUACCCAGGAACACACAGCUGGAGUUAGGAUGCAAGUACAUUCCAUGAAGCUCUGGGGCCCUUUCUAGAAAGCCGUCUGCUCUCAAGCUCCUCUCUGGACCAGAGGUGACAGGGAUGCAACCUGUGUGUCUAUUAACCUUUUCGGGAGGUUUACAGCAGGGAGAACUGGGCUUCAGGGGCACUGAAGAAUUUCAUUACCUCAGAGCAACAGACCCUGAUCUCUCUCCCUGAGGCUCUGCCCUGGGUGGGGGCUGUUUGGCCACUCCACGCUAUGGGUUUCCACGCCAGGCUUGCUCAUUAGGCCAGAAGUACUUUUCAUAUGUCCACCAAUCAGAGUCUUGCAUUGGUCUUCCCUCCUGUUCUUUCUGUUAAAAGAAGUGUCAGGUGCCACCUGUUUUCUACCUGUAGGUUUUAAUGACUCAGCAGAGUCCAGCAGCUCCUUUCAAGCUCCUGCCUGUACAUACUCCUUUGUCUGUCUUCACCCUCUAUCACACCCUCCCUCUACACUUUCCCACUGGGUUGUGCCCAGUGACAGAGCUGAGGAGGGGUGGAAGCGCCUUCCUGCCAAGUCUGGGUCUGUAACUGGGGCUAUCAAACUCCUGCAGAAGAUCAGGGGUGGAGGGGGGGAAGGGGAAAUGUUAAGAGGCUCUUAACUGGGAAAAGUGUCUCACAAGCCUGAAUUCCCACAACACCUUGGAUUCUGAUCAGAGUUAAGAGCUCAGAUCCUUCCCACCACGAAAAAGAUGCAACCCCUCCUAUACCAUUUCUCAUGGGCUCCACGCCAGCACCAGGCAUCUGACUCAUUAAGGCAGGUAUUAGGGGUUAGAAGAAAAGGAAAGAAAAGGAAAGAAAAAUAAAAUCCAUAAGCACCAGGCUUAGUGACUUACCAGAGCUUUUUAGGGGUGAUCUUUAGAAAGAAAUAUGUGUAUACAGAGAUCAAGUACAUCAUUCACUUAUUUAAAAAAAAAAAAGGAAAAGACCAGAAUCCUAUGAAAAUUUCUUUAAUUUUCGUCUUUUGGAAAUACAUUUUUCAUUUUUAUUUCCAUGAUACAAAAAUGUUAAAUAUCUAACAAUGAUCGAUAAUGAAGCAGAUCUACUGAAGCAGAUCCACGGAAUUCUGUUGCUGUUGUGAUCUGUUUCAACAGAGAAAGGGCUGGUACAUGUUGUAGAUUUGUCAUAGUAUCACACACACACACACACAAGUACUCACACUCGCCAGCUCACCCCCAGACCCACUCAUA